UACGAAGGUGGCGAGCGAUACUCGGAAUCACUAGGCGUAAAGCGCAGGUAGGCGGUUCGAUAAGUCUUUUGUGAAAGCUCCUGGCUUAACUGGGAGAGGUCAGGGGAAACUGUCGGACUAGAGUGUGGUAGGGGAUACUGGAAUUCCUGGUGUAGCGGUGAAAUGCGUAGAUAUCAGGAGGAAUACCUAUGGCGAAAGCAGGUAUCUGGGCCAUCACUGACGCCGAGCUGCGAAAGCUAGGGGAGCAAACAGG
rnacentral:rRNA from 1 species